UACGAAGGGUGCAAGCGUUACUCGGAAUUACUGGGCGUAAAGAGUGUGUAGGCGGUGCUCUAAGUUUGGUGUGAAAUCUCCCGGCUCAACUGGGAGGGUGCAUCGAAAACUGGAGUGCUCGAGGGUGGGAGAGGUAAGCGGAAUUCCUGGUGUAGCGGUGAAAUGCGUAGAUAUCUGGAGGAACACCGGUGGCGAAGGCGGCGUUCUGGACUGCAACUGACACUGAGGUGACGAAAAGC
rnacentral:rRNA from 1 species